UGGACCUCUGAAACACUAGCUGUGGG
rnacentral:piRNA from 1 species